AUCAAUAUACUUACCAUAUCUCAUCUGAACCCAUGAGAUUCAAAAGUUCUCCAAAUCUUUUAAUUUCUUCCAUUCUGGGUCUACAAUUUUCUAUCAACGCCUUCAUUCAUGUCCAAUGUUCUUCUAAGUUAGAAAUUUCAUCAACCACUUGUGGUUAAACCGAAGCAGUGACACUUUCUGCUCAAGACGUUUCUUUUCUUGGUAUGAAGUUCAUCAUAGAUGCAGGUUUUGCUAGUCUGAUUUGCCAUACAAAAAAAGAUUUAGUCUGGCAGUACAUAUUUCUAAUUCUAAAAGCCAUAGAUGCUGGUGCUGGAGUACAAAGGCCCAGCUUCCUAAUUGGUGAGACUUAUUUAGAGUUUGAUAAUUCUGGUUUUAAUUAGAUGGAAGUUGGAUCAUGCAUACAAAAAUCAUCAUAGAUGUGACCCAGAAGCCAUAAACUUUGUGAAGGUUGGCAGAUAAGCUUCUAUGGAUGGGAAGAUCUUGUUUAAAACUUUAACAAACUGUUCAUCAUAUCCAACAGUUCAUAAUUAAUUGUACUUGUUUCCUAUCAUUUGCCUUCUAUCUUUAUUGUAAUACACCCUCUUCUCUGAUUUAAUUAUUACUAAGGUACUAUGACAUUUACUGCAAUACUAGUAAGGUUUUAUAAUUUAUAAAUGGCUCUCCUCCUAUACGCAUUCAUGAGAUUAUUCUAAACAAGAGAAAAGCUUCUUAUCUUUUUUUGAAUUUACCACAGUGAUGUUAGUUUCAACAAGCUGGUCGGAAUGAUUCCAGAUGACAUAAGUGCAAGAACAACGCUUAAAUUUGUGUUUUUAUCUGGUAACAUGUUCAGUGGAAAUGUACCUGACUCAAUUUUGAAGAAUGGAAUAAAUGUUGAUCUUUCCUACAAUAACUUUACUUGGCAAGGCCCUGA